AACAUGUCACCCUGGUGACCAGAAAUGCAUAGAGCAUCAUAAAGGGCUGCUCGCACUAAGAGCUUCUCUUCAAACUUAAUGAGAGAAUAAAAAGGACAAUACAAUCAACUUUAAACUAUCUCCAAUAACAUGGCAAGAAUUGUUCACUUUAAAGAUGAAACUACCAUCAUUAACACUUCUAGAUAUCUGCAUGUUCACCCAAGAGGUCACUGAACAGAAUUUUUCUUUGUUGCCUAUUUUCUGUGGGAAACAAGACCACACCAAAAGGUAUGUAAACAUUCCCAAAUGCUGUCAGUUAAUAGGUUUGGCGUAUUAUUC
rnacentral:lncRNA from 12 species